rnacentral:rRNA from 1 species
UACGUAGGGGGCGAGCGUUGUCUGGAGUUACUGGGCGUAAAGCGCACGCAGGCGGUCUGCUAAGUUUGGAGUGACAGUUGGUGGCUUAACUGCCAAAGUGCUUCGAAACUGACAGACUUGAGGGCUUCAGAGGGACACGGAAUUCCGGGUGGAGUGGUGAAAUGCGUAGAGAUCCGGAGGAACACCAAAGGCGAAGGCAGUGUCCUGGGGAGUACCUGACGCUCAGGUGCGAAAGCCAGGGGAGCGAACGGG